UUUACCUGUAGAUCCCGUCUUUUAGAGUAUUUGACAAGCCCUGAUCCUUGGGACAGUAUUUCCAGGCAAACCAGGAGUGAAGGAUGUGGAGAGAUGUGGAUGCUAAUGAACAGCUCACACUAGGCCUUCACCAGAAAAACAACCAAGAAUCCUAAUGAUACUUACAUGGGAAAUAUCAGGGAAAGAAGAGAAUGAUACACUUCUAAAGAUGCCUGAAAGGAAAUCCACAAUUAAAUUUCCCAUUGAUUUAGCAGGGCAUGGCAUUAUAUGAAAGUUUACUGUCGAAAAGUAUAUAUGAAAUGUAUGUUUAGUAGUGGGUUUAUAUGUAUAAAUCUGUGAGUAUGGAUACAAAUAGCAAAGAAUGACAUAUCACAUUGUUUUGCAAGUUCUAGUACAAUUCAGAAACUACCUCACCAUUCACUUGUUUUCUCCUGGAAUAACAUACUUUGAAUUAAUGGGUGGUAUGUGAUGCUACCCUCAGCCAUCACUGGAAUAAAGUGCAUGUUAGAUCAGUAAGUAUGAAAUAAUAACGUAUAUCAGAGCUUCUGGGAACACUAGCUGCACUAGAAGCACAAACCUUCAGGACCCUGGUUGCUUAGAGGGUCACACAAUGCAGAGAAGCUUUCAAGAAACUUUCACAAGGCCAGAGUAUAUUUCCAGUGUUAACUUUUCCACUGAAAGAGAAUGUAGUCUCAACAAAUGUUACUAAAUAGAGUAAUUAUCCCAUGGUAUCUGGUCUCUGUCCUUCUGAAGACUGAGCAAGGCAGAUUCAGGUUCAGUGAAUAUCAUCCUGUCCCCAUGUCAGUUACUGUUAGGUGUUUCAAUUGACAAUGCAAAACUACUGAGGUCUAUUUUCUACUUAAAAGUUAUGACUUCAGUGACUAACCUUUUAUUUCCAGUUUUAGUAUGCAUCAGUCUGUGUAACGCAUUGAUUUCAGAGUAUAGAAAUAUAAGUAAGACUGGUGUAUCUUUUCAAUGAUAGAAAGUAAUGCAUACAAAAUAAAUGAAGGGUGACAGAUGUAGCUCAGAAUGUAUCUAUAUAGUCUAUUUUAUAGCACUAGCACCCAUAGGCAGUACUGAAGUGAACCACUGUAUUCUCUGUUGAUUUUAGUGACUACCUGACUCUUUGAAAUACAUUUUCAGACCUUUUUAUCUAAGAGUUUGGGGAAAAAAAAAUCUUAUAUUAUUGUUUGAAAGAUGAAGCUACAUGUCUAGGAAAUCCAGCUUCCUUUGUGAUAGAGCAAGGCAGGAGUUCUACUAUAAUCAUUUCUUCUGCAAAAUUAUUUUGAAUCUGCAGUUUUUAGAGAUUUUUUUUGACAAUUUUUCCCAAUGGCAUGCAUGGUAACAUUAAGAAUGAAGUACUGCAAAAAGUUCAGAAACUGCACAUGUGAAAGAAAAAGAAACACUCUGCUUGGAGGAAAAAAAC
ensembl:lncRNA